rnacentral:RNase_P_RNA from 1 species
GAAGCUGACCAGACAGUCGCCGCUUCGUCGUCGUCCUUUCGGGGAGACGGGCGGAGGGGAGGAAAGUCCGGGCUCCAUAGGGCAGGGUGCCAGGUAACGCCUGGGGGGGAAACCCACGACCAGUGCAACAGAGAGCAAACCGCCGAUGGCCCACGUAAGUGGGAUCAGGUAAGGGUGAAAGGGUGCGGUAAGAGCGCACCGCGCGGCUGGUAACAGUCCGUGGCACGGUAAACUCCACCCGGAGCAAGGCCAAAUAGGGACCGCGCGGCUGGUAACAGUCCGUGGCACGGUAAACUCCACCCGGAGCAAGGCCAAAUAGGGGUUCAUAAGGUACGGCCCGUACUGAACCCGGGUAGGCUGCUUGAGCCAGUGAGCGAUUGCUGGCCUAGAUGAAUGACUGUCCACGACAGAACCCGGCUUAUCGGUCAGUUUCACUU